AUUUGAUAAUACUUUACUACUUGGAUAACCGUGGUAAUUCUAGAGACAAGCAUAUGACUACAUCCCGACUUCGGAAGGGUUGUAUUUAUUAGAUUAAAAACCAAUGCCCCUCGGGGCUCUCUGGUGAAUCAUAAUAACUAGUCGAAUCGACAGGCCUUGUGCCGGCGAUGGCUCAUUCAAAUUUCUUCCCUAUCAACUUUCGAUGUUUGGGUCUUGUCCAAACAUGGUGGCAACGGGUAACGGAGGGUUAGGGCUCGACCCCGGAGAAGGAGCCUGAGAAACGGCUACUACAUCCAAGGAAGGCAGCAGGCGCGCAAAUUACCCAAUCCCGACACGGGGAGGUAGUGACGAUAAAUACUGAUACAGGGCUCUUUUGGGUCUUGU
rnacentral:rRNA from 1 species